rnacentral:rRNA from 1 species
AUUGAACGCUGGCGGAAUGCUUUACACAUGCAAGUCGAACGAUGAACCUUAGCUUGCUAAGGGGAUUAGUGGCGAACGGGUGAGUAAUGUAUCGGAACGUAUCCAAUAAUGGGGGACAACUAGUCGAAAGAUUAGCUAAUACCGCAUACGUCCUACGGGAGAAAGCUAGGGACCUUCGGGCCUGGCGUUAAUGGAGCGGCCGAUAUCUGAUUAGCUAGUUGGUGGGGUAAAGGCUCACCAAGGCGACGAUCAGUAGCUGGUCUGAGAGGACGACCAGCCACACUGGAACUGAGACACGGUCCAGACUCCUACGGGAGGCAGCAGUGGGGAAUUUUGGACAAUGGGCGAAAGCCUGAUCCAGCCAUUCCGCGUGAGUGAAGAAGGCCUUCGGGUUGUAAAGCUCUUUCGCAAGGGAAGAAAACUUAUCCUCUAACAUAGGGUGAGGUUGACGGUACCUUGAUAAGAAGCACCGGCUAACUACGUGCCAGCAGCCGCAGUAA